GGGGGCGAAACGGCUUCGACGGGGAUAUGGAAAUACAGGUUGCAUGCCGGGCAUCUGUCAGCCCGUAAAAAAGGCAGGACUUAAACAUAAUCGCAGACGAUUAUAACUACGCUCUGGCCGCUUAGGCCAGCGUCCUUCCGGAUUUUUCCUGUGCGUUCGGAAAGGGCGACGACUAACAGGAUAGCUGAUAUCGGUGGCCUGUUCUGAUAGAAGCGAAAUUGCCAAGAGGCUAACCUGUACGACACCCUGCCUGGAGGGGAUCGUGCAAGUGAAAUCAAAAUCCGGGAUAAGCAUGUAGAGGCCUGUGUGGAUUAUUUUCGGACGCGGGUUCGACUCCCGCCGCCUCCACCA
rnacentral:tmRNA from 1 species